rnacentral:rRNA from 1 species
AUUGAACGCUGGCGGCAGGCCUAACACAUGCAAGUCGAGCGAGCGGCGGACGGGUAAGUUAUGUCUGGGGACUGCCCGAUAGAGGGGGAUAACUACUGGAAACGGUUGAUAAUACCGCAUACUUUCGGGUAACCCAUUUUGGAGUAGCUAGUAGGUGGGGUAAAGGCUCACCUAGGCGCCGAUCUCUAGCUGGUCUGAAAGGAUGAUCAGCAACACGGGGGAUGAGACACGGCCUAGACUCCUACGGAGGCACCAGUGGGAAAUCUUGCACAAUGGGCGCAAGCCUGAAGCAGCCAUGCGGCGAGUAUGUAGAAGGCCUUAGGGUUGUAAAGUACUUUCAUCGGGGAGGCGUUACCCGCAGAAGAAGCACCGGCUAACUCCGUGCCAGCAGCCGCGGUAAUUC